GAUGAACGCUGGCGGCGUGCUUAACACAUGCGAGUCGAACGGAAAGGCUCCUGCUUGCAGGGGUACUCGAGUGGCGAACGGGUGAGUAACACGUGGGUGAUCUGCCCUGCACUUCGGGAUAAGCCUGGGAAACUGGGUCUAAUACCGGAUAGGACCACAUUUUGGAUGGUGUGGUGGAAAGUUUUUCGGUGUGGGAUGAGCUCGCGGCCUAUCAGCUUGUUGGUGGGGUAAUGGCCUACCAAGGCGUCGACGGGUAGCCGGCCUGAGAGGGUGUACGGCCACAUUGGGACUGAGAGACGGCCCAGACUCCUACGGGAGGCAGCAGUGGGGAAUAUUGCACAAUGGGCGCAAGCCUGAUGCAGCGACGCCGCGUGGGGGAUGACGGCCUUCGGGUUGUAAACUCCUUUCGCUAGGGACGAAGCGCAAGUGACGGUACCUGGAGAAGAAGCACCGGCUAACUACGUG
rnacentral:rRNA from 1 species